AUGACUUUUGCAUGUUUCCUUGAUCAAGCUAGAGCCAUGGAAAAGGCAAUUGAGGAGGUGUAUCCUGAAUCCACGCAUCGGUGGUGCAAAUGGCACGUGCUGAAGAAGGCCAAAGAAAACCUGGGUGCUCAUUACACCAAGAAGUCAGAUUUCAGGGCUGAAUUCCACAAGCUUGUGCAUGAGAUGCUGACUAUUGAUGAAUUCGAGGACGGCUGGGCAGCAUUGCUUGACAAAUAUUCACUGGAAACAAAUCCAUAUCUCAUGCAGAUCUGCGAGACUAGGCAGAAGUGCGCAAAACCUUACUUUGUCGGGAAAUUCUGUGCUCGCCGAACCAGCACUGGCAGGAGUGAGAGUGCAAACCAUAUGCUGAAGCAGUAUGUCCCCCCGUCAUGCUCAAUGAAUCUAUUUGUCAAGCAAUACAACAAGCUCCAGUUCGACCGAGAAUAG
rnacentral:rRNA from 1 species